UUGCCCGUCUGGCUGUGCGUAGUGCAGGUCAAAGGUCAGACCGGUGGACAGACAGCAGCGGGGUCGAGGCGGGCUGGAGCCGCGUAUGUCAACAGGAUUGGAGGUCAUUAUGUUGCCUCGACAACAAAAUGUCUCAGUUUCCAUGGAAACACCAUCCUCAUCAGGCUAUACAGCAUGACGGCUGUGAAAGGCUGUGUUUUGUUUAAGGCCUUAUUAACCCCCCCAAAACCUGCUGGUCAGCACAAGCUGUGAAAUCACUGGACAUUGCUCUGCUCUGUGAUUGGACACUGGGCUGCGUUGCCAAGCAACAGUAGUGAAAGGUCUCUGGUGUGCGUUGAUGAGAUCUUUCUGAGGAGACUAGAUAUAAGACAACACACUUGCUCAAGGAAACAAAGUCAAAAGAGAAUAAGUGAGAAAAGCAGGACUUUCCAAAAAAUGAGGAAAAGAUCCAAAGUAAAUGGGACUCCUAACAACCAUCCGGAAGACCAAAACUGUCCCCAUCAAACGUCUGAAGGAAAGUAGAUGAAACAGACCUUCUCAAAUCAAACAAAGACGCUGAUGUUGUUCUCAGAACAAUGGACUGACCACCCCAGAGUCCUCAUCUCAACACCACUGAAUGGGUUUGGGAUUGUCUGGACUACGAGAAGCAGAAAGUACAACCAGUGGUCUCACUUUAUUUGGAUAGCCCACUAUACAUGUUCUGUUGAAACUCAGUUCUAAACAGUGGUGGGGUUAGGGUUAGGAUUUGGACCGGGGUUUGGGCUAUGACCGAAGUGAGGGUUGGAUUUAGGGUUUGGGUUGAGGUUAAGCUUAGGGAUUAGAGCCAAGGUUAGAGUUAAAGACAAUGAUGGUCAGUUUAGCACAGUCAUGUCAAACUGGGGACCUUCAGGGCCAAAACACUGCAGAGAUUAGCAUUUACAUUCACCUACCACUCAGUUCAGGAAGGCCUUGCCAAUCAGCUGAUGAGCUGAAUCAGGUGUGUUUAAUGAGGCAGUGUGUUGGAGUCUGCAGUGCUUUGGCCCGCGAGGACUGGAUCCUGACGCAUGUGAUUUAGUAGAUAUUUAGUUGAAUGUAACUUGAAAGUAAAUUAAGCGUCUACAAAGCAUCUACCCCUUAGUUUUGUGCAGUCACGUCUGGGGGUAGGGUGUCCUGACCGUUGUUGAGAGAGGGGUGGGGCGAAGUGUUUGAGCUACA